rnacentral:rRNA from 2 species
UGGGGAAUUUUGGACAAUGGGCGCAAGCCUGAUCCAGCAAUGCCGCGUGCAGGAAGAAGGCCUUCGGGUUGUAAACUGCUUUUGUCAGGGAAGAAAUCUUCUGGGCUAAUACCCCGGGAGGAUGACGGUACCUGAAGAAUAAGCACCGGCUAACUACGUGCCAGCAGCCGCGGUAAUACGUAGGGUGCGAGCGUUAAUCGGAAUUACUGGGCGUAAAGCGUGCGCAGGCGGCUUUGCAAGACAGAUGUGAAAUCCCCGGGCUCAACCUGGGAACUGCAUUUGUGACUGCAAGGCUAGAGUACGGCAGAGGGGGAUGGAAUUCCGCGUGUAGCAGUGAAAUGCGUAGAUAUGCGGAGGAACACCAAUGGCGAAGGCAAUCCCCUGGGCCUGUACUGACGCUCAUGCACGAAAGCGUGGGGAGCAAACAGG